AUGCCUAAUACAUGCAAGUCGAACGAGACCUUCGGGUCUAGUGGCGCACGGGUGCGUAACGCGUUGGGAAUCUGCCCUUGGUUCGGAAUAACGUCGGGGAACUGACGCUAAUACCGGAUGAUGACGAAAGUCCAAAGAUUUAUCGCCCAGGGGAUGAGCCCGCGUAGGAUUAGCUAGUUGGUGAGGUAAAGGCUCACCAAGGCUACGAUCCUUAGCUGGUCUGAGAGGAUGAUCAGCCACACUGGUACUGAGACACGGACCAGACUCC
rnacentral:rRNA from 1 species